rnacentral:lncRNA from 1 species
GUUAUGAAAGUUACAGGGAAAGUAUGACAAAAAAGAUUAACAUGCAAUUAUAAGACCAGGCUAAUUUCCAUGCCUUCUCAGAGGUUUAGCAUCCUUAAUUGCCUGGGAUCCCAGGGGCCCCCGUGGCUCCACUGUGCGUUACAAAGACCUGAUUGCCUCUCCUAAGAGUCAUAAUCUGGAUACAGAGCUGACUGCUUGGCAUUUCCCCCUGCCUCAGAGUCCUGUGUGCCGGUCAUAACUCUACUGGUUUUUCUUUCAGGGCCAUGGCCUCCCCUGCUGCCCGGGACCAGUUUUUACGUCAGAUGGAACAGAUUGUGGAAGGAAUUAAGCAAAGUAGAAUGAAGAUGGAAAAGAAAAAGCAAGAGAACAAAAUGAGAAGAGACCAGUUGAACGACCAGUACUUGGAGCUGUUAGAAAAGCAGAGGCUAUACUUUAAGACUGUGAAAGAGUUC